rnacentral:rRNA from 1 species
GACGAACGCUGGCGGCGUGCUUAACACAUGCAAGUCGAACGGACAGGCCCUGCUUUUGUGGGGUGCUCGAGUGGCGAACGGGUGAGUAACACGUGAGUAACCUGCCCUUGACUUUGGGAUAACUUCAGGAAACUGGGGCUAAUACCGGAUAGGAGCGCCUGCUGCAUGGUGGGGGUUGGAAAGUUUCGGCGGUUGGGGAUGGACGCGCGGCUUAUCAGCUUGUUGGUGGGGUAGUGGCUUACCAAGGCUUUGACGGGUAGCCGGCCUGAGAGGGUGACCGGCCACAGUGGGACUGAGGUACGGCCCAGACUCCUACGUGAGGCAGCAGUGGGGAAUAUUGCACAAUGGGCGGAAGCCGGAUGCAGCAACGCCGCGUCCGGGAUGACGGCCGUCGGGUUGUAAACCGCUUGCGCCUGUGACGAAGCGUGAGUGACGGUAAUGGGUCAAGAAGCACCGGCUAACUACGUG